GCCAAGGUGGCGGAGUGGUUACGCAAUUGCCUGCAGAGCAAUUCUACUCCGGUUCGAAUCCGGACCUUGGCU
rnacentral:tRNA from 2 species